UACGAAGGUCCCGAGCGUUGUUCGGAAUCACUGGGCGUAAAGGGAGCGUAGGCGGCGCGGUAAGUCAGAUGUGAAAUCCCGGGGCUCAACCCCGGAACUGCAUCCGAUACUGCCGUGCUAGAGGAUUGGAGAGGUAGCUGGAAUUCUUGGUGUAGCCAGUGAAAUGCGUAGAGAUCAUGAGGAAGACCAGUGGCGAAGGCGGGUCUCUGGACAGUUC
rnacentral:rRNA from 1 species